CUGGCCUCAUGCAAGCUUGAUUUAGAGAUAAGCACUGGCCUGGAACCAAGAGAAGCUGGGUUGCCUAGCACAAGUCCCCAGCUCUCCCUUUGUCUUGAUCUCUCUUCUUGCCUUCCCGGCCCCUCACUGCUCAGGUCCAGGAAGUACUGAGCAUGUUCUUCUGGUGACCUUUGAGUUUGGGGCCCCCAUCUUUGAUGUACCUCAAUGAAGGCAGAGGUAGCACUUCCUUCCUCUGUGGAAGAGGCCUUAUGGCAGAUAUUGUAAUGGCGUAAUGAUGCAUCUUCAUUUUCAGCCUGACUGGAUCUAGAAGAUGCAGAGGGAGAUGCAGAUUAAAAGAGAAAAAGGAGAAAGUCCCCCUCUCACCAGUGUUCCCUCUCACCAGUGUGUGUCGCCUCUCACCAGUGUGUGUCCCCUCUCACCAGUGUCCCCUCUCACAAGUGUCCCCUCUCAUCAUUGUCCUGCUUCACCAGUGAUCUGUCCUACCAGUGUCCCACCUCAUUAGUGUCCCCUCUCACCAAUGUCUCCUCUUGGCUUCCUCUUGUCACUAUGCAAGCUGCUUAUUUCUGCCCUGUCCCUCUCUGUGAAUUUGAACUCUUUGAAACCAUGAGCCCCAAAUAAACUUUUCUUCUUUUAA